rnacentral:rRNA from 1 species
GAUGAACGCUGGCGGCGUGCCUAAUACAUGCAAGUAGAACGCAGUUGCGAACGGGUGAGUAACGCGUAGGUAACUGCCUCAUAGCGGGGGAUAACUAUGGGAAACGAGAGCUAAUACCGCAUAAUUUGAGAUGGACCUGCGUUUUAUUAGCUAGUUGGGGAGGUAAAGGCUCACCAAGGCGACGAUGCAUAGCCGACCUGAGGGGGUGAUCGGCCACACUGGGACUGAGACACGGCCCAGACUCCUACGGGAGGCAGCAGUGGGGAAUAUUGGACAAUGGGCGAAAGCCUGAUGCAGCCAUGCCGCGUGUGUGAUGAAGGUCUUCGGAUUGUAAAGCACUUUAAGUAGGGAGGCGGUACCUACACAAUAAGCACCGGCUAACUUCGUGCCAGCAGCCGCGGUAAUAC